GACGAACGCUGGCGGCGUGCUUAACACAUGCAAGUCGAACGGUAAGGCCCUUCGGGGUACACGAGUGGCGAACGGGUGAGUAACACGUGGGUGAUCUGCCCUGCACUUCGGGAUAAGCCUGGGAAACUGGGUCUAAUACCGGAUAGGACCCUGGGAUGCAUGUCCUGGGGUGGAAAGCUUUUGCGGUGUGGGAUGGGCCCGCGGCCUAUCAGCUUGGUGGUGGGGUGAUGGCCUACCAAGGCGACGACGGGUAGCCGGCCUGAGAGGGUGACCGGCGACACUGGGGCUGAGCUACGGCCCAGACUCCUACGGGAGGCAGCAGUGGGGAAUAUUGCACAAUGGGCGCAAGCCUGAUGCAGCGACGCCGCGUGAGGGAUGACGGCCUUCGGGUUGUAAACCUCUUUCAGCACCGACGAAGCGCAAGUGACGGUAGGUGCAGAAGAAGGACCGGCCAACUACGUGCCAGCCGCCGCGGUAA
rnacentral:rRNA from 1 species